rnacentral:lncRNA from 1 species
UUGCAACGGGUGUCCGAGUCUCUUCGAGCCCUGACUAAUCCCGGGGGUGCACAGGCCCUCGGCAAGGAGUUUCCCGCAAGUGCACCACGAUUAAAUCAAAAUUGUUUGCACCCAGUGAAUUUCGAACUUGAGACCUUGAAAGGGAACAAACCCCAAGGCUCAAGUCAAUUGCCACCAGGCCAACCUCUGAGGGUUGUGUUGGUAGCUAAUUUGUACUCUUAAUAUAACAUCAGAUGGUAACUCAUCAAGUAUAAAUCAUAGCAAGCAAAAUGAGACCAACUACCAGCUAGAAACCAGUUCUACUCUUCUGAAUACAACUUCAUCCUUAAUUCAUUAUUUUGUAAUGCAAACAAAAAGAUAUGUUGUUUAUAAGGAAAAAAAUCCAAAUAUUCUUCAUAACGAAUAUUAAACAGCUCAAAUUUUAAAGUCCUCUUAAUAAUGGUGCCAAAUCAGAACGGGAAGAACAAAAUUGAAACAAGGGAGAACAAAAUAUAAUUUGCUGGUUCCGUUCAAUUUUCUAGAGUGCUGCCUACGGACAAGGACACUAUGACAUGACAUGUAUGUAUGAGAGGAUCACCCCUGAAUAACCUGAACAAUAUUUUCAAGCUCGUUAAUUAAUGCAAUAAGCCUUUACCGCCAGUUCUAAAUUUUCAAUAGCAAAUAAUUUACUCCCACAUUUGAAAGAGAAAUGAAGUGUGAAAAGUAAAAGGGAAAAGACAAACACAC